GACAGAGGGUGCAAACGUUGUUCGGAAUUACUGGGCGUAAAGCGCGUGUAGGCUGUUCUGCAAGUCGGGUGUGAAAGCCCCGGGCUCAACCUGGGAAGUGCACUCGAAACUGCAGAACUCGAGUCCUGGAGAGGAAGGCGGAAUUCUCGGUGUAGAGGUGAAAUUCGUAGAUAUCGAGAGGAACACCGGUGGCGAAGGCGGCCUUCUGGACAGUGACUGACGCUGAGGAGCGAAAGUGUGGGGAGCGAACAGG
rnacentral:rRNA from 1 species